rnacentral:rRNA from 1 species
CCAGCAGCCGCGGUAAUUCCAGCUCCAAUAGCGUAUAUUAAAGUUGUUGCAGUUAAAAAGCUCGUAGUUGGAUUUCUGGUGGGAGGGAACCGUCCGAUCUCAGAUUGGUGCGUGUUCCUCUCCGGCCAUCCUUGAGUCUAACCUCCUUGGCAUUAAGUUGUCGAGGUGGGGAUACUCAUCGUUUACUGUGAAAAAAUUAGAGUGUUCAAAGCAGGCUUAUGCCGUUGAAUAUAUUAGCAUGGAAUAAUAAGAUAGGACCUCGGUACUAUUUUGUUGGUUUGCGCACCAAGGUAAUGAUCAAUAGGGACAGUUGGGGGUAUUCGUAUUCAGUAGUCAGAGGUGAA